CAAUUUAGUUCUCUGAAAUGGUUUUCUCCAUCUUUUUCUGUAGGAGAGGUAAAUAUAGGUCAUAUGUGGGGGUGCUGCUUGCAAGUUUAAUGUUAAGUAUUCAGUGGCUUGGUUUACUUGAAGUGAAAGUAAUACUAUAAUUAAUCAUUUUGCUAAUAAGCUCUGCCAAGAAAUUUUAAGUGAAGACAAAAUUUUAUACUAAACCAAUUUAGAAGUGAGUUUGAAAGUUAACUUUAUAAAUUAAGUUCUAUUCCAUAUUCUAAUAUAAUAA
rnacentral:lncRNA from 1 species